rnacentral:rRNA from 1 species
GUGUACCAGUUGUCGUGCCAACGGCAUAGCUGGGUAGCUAUGUGUGGACGGGAUAAGUGCUGAAAGCAUCUAAGCAUGAAGCCCCCCUCAAGAUGAGAUUUCCCAACUUCGGUUAUAAGAUCCCUCAAAGAUGAUGAGGUUAAUAGGUUCGAGGUGGAAGCAUGGUGACAUGUGGAGCUGACGAAUACUAAUCGAUCGAAGACUUAAUCAAAUU